CUUGAUGUGGUCGAUUUUCUUUUCCUUCUUAGACCUUACAUUUUUUGUAUGACCGCUUGAAUGUCUUUACCCUUCUCGUCUUCUUAUCGCCUCGCCAACAUAGGAUCGGAGCACUCGGGGAUGAGGAUGAGGAGAGGGAGGAAAAUGCGAAUCGCUGCUCGACAGCCACCAUAACCCGCUGCCCUGCCACACCAUACCAUCGUCGAGACACUCUUAUGUCAUGGUGGUGGCAGUGAUGACUUGGUUUGACGGUAGGCGGGUGGUGGUGGGUACGGUG
rnacentral:lncRNA from 1 species